AGCGAACGCUGGCGGCAGGCUUAACACAUGCAAGUCCAACGGGCAUCUUCGGAUGUCAGUGGCAGACGGGUGAGUAACACGUGGGAACGUACCCUUCGGUUCGGAAUAACUCAGGGAAACUUGAGCUAAUACCGGAUACGCCCUUUUGGGGAAAGGUUUACUGCCGAAGGAUCGGCCCGCGUCUGAUUAGCUUGUUGGUGGGGUAACGGCCUACCAAGGCGACGAUCAGUAGCUGGUCUGAGAGGAUGAUCAGCCACACUGGGACUGAGACACGGCCCAGACUCCUACGGGAGGCAGCAGUGGGGAAUAUUGGACAAUGGGCGCAAGCCUGAUCCAGCCAUGCCGCGUGAGUGAUGAAGGCCUUAGGGUUGUAAAGCUCUUUUGUCCGGGACGAUAAUGACGGUACCGGAAGAAUAAGCCCCGGCUAACUUCGUG
rnacentral:rRNA from 1 species